CUUAUACGUGUAUCUAAUCGAAUAACAAUUUAGAUUAUCUCAAACGAAUAAAAUAAUUAAUUAAAAUAAAAAGUGGACAAGUGUAGUAGAUUAGAUAAAUCAUACACCGACUGCUGCUAUUAUCGCCUUAAAUUUAUAAAAAAGAUUUAUGUAUUCCGAUUUAUCGCAUGAGUAAAAGCUAUAUACUGUAAAAGUAUUUUUAAACAAACAUUAUCUGUGUUUAACAAUGAUAAAUAGAAAUGAUUACGAUAAACUUCAUAUGACUAUCGAAAUUUGUAGUUGUUUGCAAUUGCAGUUGGAGUUAAAUGUUUCUAUAGAUGUGGCAGUUACGAUUUUAGUCAGUUUUAACUCACUUUCAUCCAGUAUGAAUUUUCUGUAGCUUCUCUUGUCAAACAGAGAAAUUUAUUUCGUGUUACGUCCAUUCGUUGGGAGCCGCACAUUGUUCUACCAGGAAUUGAGAAGCUUCGAGUCAUUAAUUACUCGCUGGUACUUGGACCUCUUUCCACGCUGGCACUUGGAUCUCCUUCCAAAUAGGUUUCUGGACUUUCUUCCAAACUGGUACCUUAACUUCUUUCCACGCUGGAACCUGAACUUCCUUCCAAACAGGUUGAGCUGGUGGCCCAUAGGAUUGCGCUGGUGGUCCAUAGGAUGGCGCUGGUGGUCCAUAAGAUUGCGCUGGUGGUCCAUAAGAUUGUGCUGGUGGGCCAUAAGAUUGUGCUGGAGCACCAUAGG